rnacentral:rRNA from 1 species
GACGAACGCUGGCGGCGUGCUUAACACAUGCAAGUCGAACGAAGAGCGAUGGAAGCUUGCUUCUAUCAAUCUUAGUGGCGAACGGGUGAGUAACGCGUAAUCAACCUGCCCUUCAGAGGGGGACAACAGUUGGAAACGACUGCUAAUACCGCAUACGAUCUAAUCUCGGCAUCGAGGAUAGAUGAAAGGUGGCCUCUACAUGUAAGCUAUCACUGAAGGAGGGGAUUGCGUCUGAUUAGCUAGUUGGAGGGGUAACGGCCCACCAAGGCGAUGAUCAGUAGCCGGUCUGAGAGGAUGAACGGCCACAUUGGGACUGAGACACGGCCCAGACUCCUACGGGAGGCAGCAGUGGGGAAUCUUCCGCAAUAGACGAAAGUCUGACGGAGCAACGCCGCGUGAGUGAUGACGGCCUUCGGGUUGUAAAGCUCGGUUAAUCGGGACGAAAGGCCUUCUUGCGAAUAGGGAGAAGGAUUGACGGUACCGGAAUAGAAAGCCACGGCUAACUACGUG